UACGUAGGGUGCAAGCGUUAAUCGGAAUUACUGGGCGUAAAGCGUGCGCAGGCGGUGAUGUAAGACAGAUGUGAAAUCCCCGGGCUCAACCUGGGAACUGCAUUUGUGACUGCAUCGCUGGAGUGCGGCAGAGGGGGGGAUGGAAAUUCCGCGUGUAGCAGUGAAAAUGCGUAGAUAUCGGGAGGAACACCAGUGGCGAAGGCGACUACCUGGCCUGUUCUUGACGCUGAGGCGCGAAAGCUAGGGGGAGCAAAACGGG
rnacentral:rRNA from 1 species